AUUGAACGCUGGCGGCAUGCCUUACACAUGCAAGUCGAACGGUAACGGGCCUUCGGGUGCCGACGAGUGGCGAACGGGUGAGUAAUGUAUCGGAACGUACCUUUCAGUGGGGGAUAACGUAGCGAAAGUUACGCUAAUACCGCAUAUUCUGUGAGCAGGAAAGCAGGGGAUCGCAAGACCUUGCGCUGAUUGAGCGGCCGAUGUCAGAUUAGCUAGUUGGUGAGGUAAAGGCUCACCAAGGCGACGAUCUGUAGCGGGUCUGAGAGGAUGAUCCGCCACACUGGAACUGAGACACGGUCCAGACUCCUACGGGAGGCAGCAGUGGGGAAUUUUGGACAAUGGGGGCAACCCUGAUCCAGCCAUGCCGCGUGAGUGAAGAAGGCCUUCGGUUGUAAUCGCUGUCAGUGGGGAGGAAAGUAUUGGUGGGUUCGUCCCUCUAGUUUGACCUAUCCGCACGAGGAAGGACGGGCUAAGUUCGUGCAGCAGCCGAC
rnacentral:rRNA from 1 species